GCAAACUUGGUCAUUUAGAGGAAGUAAAAGUCGUAACAAGGUCUCCGUUGGUGAACCAGCGGAGGGAUCAUUAUAGAGUAACAACUCUCCAACCCUAGCCUAUAUUACUUUAGUGUACUGCCUCGGCGGGGGAGCUCUGCGAGCCCGCCGUUGGUAGAAAUAAAUUCUUUAUAUCUGAACUCAUGAUUAAAAGCAAAUAAUCAAAACUUUCAACAACGGAUCUCUUGGUUCUGGCAUCGAUGAAGAACGCAGC
rnacentral:misc_RNA from 1 species